AACGCAUAUUGCACUCUUUCGGUAUUCCAAAGAGUAUGCUUGUUUGAGUAUCAGUAAAAUCCCCUCAAGCAAUUUUUUUUUUCUUUUUUUUUUUGCUUGGACUUGAGCCGUAACUGAAAAUAUGGUUAUCUCAAUUUUCCAGCAGCUUCAAAUACUGGUGCAGCCGAUUCAGAAAAUUUGUUUUCUGUGAUACAAAGUAUAUUUAUUUAAUCUUUUAAAAUGGAUUCUUUCGCGUUACAAAAAAUAAUCUGAUUUUGACUGACUGAUAACAGGAAUUUCUAGCAAAGCAUUCUAUGUUUUCUAGACUUUUUGGUCUCAAAUUAAGUAAGACUACCCGCUGGACUUAA
rnacentral:misc_RNA from 1 species